UAAAGGAGCAAUCCGCUAUAAGAUGGGCCCGCGGCGCAUUAGCUAGUUGGUGAGGUAACGGCUCACCAAGGCGACGAUGCGUAGCCGACCUGAGAGGGUGAUCGGCCACAUUGGGACUGAGACACGGCCCAGACUCCUACGGGAGGCAGCAGUGGGGAAUAUUGCACAAUGGGGGAAACCCUGAUGCAGCAACGCCGCGUGAGUGAUGACGGCCUUCGGGUUGUAAAGCUCUGUCUUUGGGGACGAUAAUGACGGUACCCAAGGAGGAAGCCCCGGCUAACUACGUGCCAGCAGCCGCGGUAAUACGUAGGGGGCAAGCGUUAUCCGGAAUUACUGGGUGUAAAGGGAGAGUAGGCGGCAUGGUAAGCAAUAUGUGAAAGCCUCGGGCUUAACCUGAGGAUUGCAUAAUGAACUAUCAAGCUAGAGUACAGGAGAGGAAAGCGGAAUUCCUAGUGUAGCGGUGAAAUGCGUAGAUAUUAGGAAGAACACCAGUGGCGAAGGCGGCUUUCUGGACUGAAACUGACGCUGAGGCUCGAAAGCGUGGGGAGCGAACAGGAUUAGAUACCCUGGUAGUCCACGCCGUAAACGAUGAGUGCUAGGUGUCGGGGAGGAAUCCUCGGUGCCGGAGCAAACGCA
rnacentral:rRNA from 1 species